UAACACGUAGGGAACCUGCCCGCGCACCGGGAAUACGCUCUGGAAACGGAGAACAAAUCCCGAUGUACAGGAAGGAGGCAUCUUCUUUCUGUGAAACAUCCUUUAGGGGAUGGGGCGCGGAUGGACCUGCGGUGCAUUAGUUUGUUGGCGGGGUAAAGGCCCACCAAGACGAUGAUGCAUAGCCGGCCUGAGAGGGCGGACGGCCACAUUGGGACUGAGACACGGCCCAGACUCCUGCGGGAGGCAGCAGUAGGGAAUUUUCGUCAAUGGGCGCAAGCCUGAACGAGCGAUGCCGCGUGAGUGAAGAAGGCCUUCGGGUCGUAAAGCUCUGUUGCGGGGGAAAAAAGGCAGCAUCAGGAAAUGGGUGCUGACUGAUGGUGCCCCGCCAGAAAGUCACGGCUAACUACGUGCCAGCAGCCGCGGUAAUACGUAGGUGGCGAGCGUUAUCUGGAAUGAUUGGGCGUAAAGGGUGCGCAGGCGGUCCUGCAAGUCUGGAGUGAAACGCAUGAGCUCAACUCAUGCAUGGCUUUGGAAACUGGAGGACUGGAGAGCAGGAGAGGGCGGUGGAACUCCAUGUGUAGCGGUAAAAUGCGUAGAUAUAUGGAAGAACACCAGUGGCGAAGGCGGCCGCCUGGCCUGUUGCUGACGCUGAGGCACGAAAGCGUGGGGAGCAAAUAGGAUUAGAUACCCUAGUAGUCCACGCCGUAAACGAUGAGGACCAAGUGU
rnacentral:rRNA from 1 species